UGCAGUUAGAUAUCUUGAGCCUUCUCAUGAUCUGAAAAGUCAUACCUCCUCUACAUAAAAUUAUCAGAAGUUAGUUAUAAAAUUAUUCUAAUCAAACAUAGUGUAAACAUAUCACAUGCAUAUAUAUGAGAUACACUUAUCCAAAUCUUUUCCCACAACCAGUUCUUAACACCAACAUCCAUCAAUCGCCAGUCUAUGGGUAGUACAGGAAUGAUGUCAGACCACCUCACAAGCACAUUAGAAAAGGAAUGCAUCUCCCAUGUGGUCUCCCCUACUACGCCGCCCUCCACAUCAUACUCCACCAU
rnacentral:lncRNA from 1 species